rnacentral:ncRNA from 2 species
UUAAACGAGCUGGGGUGCCAUUUGGCUGAGAAAUACCCAUAUUCACCUGAUCUGGUUAAUACCAGCGGAGGGAGCUUGAACGGUCGACGU